ACUAAGCUGGGUGGAUAGUCAAUGCUAAAUAUCCCAAUCCUGACUAUCUACUUAGCUUAGUCC
ensembl:miRNA mdo-mir-7251 mdo-mir-7251